UGCCGGGUCCCAUCCUUGCUGGGCCCAGGAAGCCUGCAGGGCCCUGUCCAGGGCUGGGCUGGGCAGGUUAGGUUCUGACGGGGGGCAAGGCCAGGCCCCUUUCAUGGGAGGGUCCGGGGGGAUGCCGAGUCCUGUUUUGGCUGGGCUGGGCCCCAGUAGUUGCCAGCCCCCCUGCCCAGCGUGGCUGAGACCAGAGGCUCCUGCAGCCUGUGUAGAGUGGUCCUGCGGCUGGAAGUGAACACAGAAAAAAACAAAGAUCAACCAUGAAGCCAAUGCGGACACAGCCCCAGACACAAGUUACCGGCAUGUCAGGUGGAACAAGCUCUUUUGCUCAGAUCUUGCACAUUGCAAGCCUCACACACCAGGACAAAAGAAGCUUCUGUGGUGAGAUCUGCUGACUUCCAUCAAGAAGAAUUUCAGGAGGUCUAAAUGGGAUGUACUCCUCUGAGGGGAUGAGGGGAUGAGCACGUGCUGAGAGUCUUGCCAUUUCAAUAUUUCUG